GGCAACUGUAGGCUAUAAAGUUGCCUUCUAGCUUGUAGUAAAUCUAAAGAGAGUGAAGAUAUAACUAUAAGCUUCUUUGGAUGAUGUACUAUAGACAUGCAAGGAGGUUGUAUUUGCAUGACUAUCUCUAUAGAUCUCAUUCCCCAAAAUCUUCUUAACCACACCCAAAUCUUUCAUUUCAAGCUUACCACUCAGUUGAGCUUUCAACCUUUUGAUUUUAAGCAUAUCAUUGGCUGCAAUCAACAUACAAAAGCAAAUACACAAAAGAACCAUAUGGGAGUUUUCUAGACUAAACAAACUCCCAAGUUUUGUUCUUGUAAAGAAA
rnacentral:misc_RNA from 1 species